rnacentral:rRNA from 1 species
AUUGAACGCUGGCGGCAGGCCUAACACAUGCAAGUCGAGCGGAGCUGCGGACGGGUGAGUAAUGCCUAGGAAUCUGCCUGGUAGUGGUGGAUAACGUCCGGCAACGGGCGCUAAUACCGCAUACUAUCAGUUGAGCCUAGGUCGGAUUGGCUUGGUGGUCGGGUGAAGGCUUACCUAGGCGACGAUCCCUAGCUGGUCUGAGAGGAUGAUCAGCCACCCGGGGACUGAGACACGGACCAGACUCCCACGCUAUGCAGCAGUGGGGAAUAUUGCACAAUGGGCGCAAGCGUGAUGCAGCCAUGCCGCGUGGAUGAAGAGGGGCCUAGGGUUGUAAAGUAGUUUCAGUCGGGAGGCGUUACCGACAGAAGAAGCACCGGCUAACUCCGUGCCAGCAGCCGCGGUAAUAC